GUGACACGUGUCGACGUCUUCAGUGUCCGUUUCGUGAUAACCGCGGUGAAAUUCAUUAUUAUUUGGUAGCUCUUCCUUGCAAAACUCUGCAAACGGAUGAUUCUUGGUUGAAUUGCUUAAUGGAAGCCCAAAGACGAGAGAAAACUGAAGGAAAUACAGAACCUGUAGCCUACAUGCUUGAUGGUACUACUAGAUUCAGCCUGGCCACCUGCAUUCUGUCCAACCUAUGUUGACCUGCAUAAAUGAGAAAAGAACUUCUUCAGUGACCUGAUAUUUUAGUGAUCAAAACACAGCCACGAGAUCGAGCGCUGGACGAGCGAGACAGUCGACACCCUGCUCCGUCGAAUGCUGAGCGCACACUGGCAGCUGGUUAUCGAAUCCAGUCCUGUAGGAGGGCCGUCGGUGAAGGGUUGGCGUCAUUUUGGUGAAGUUUCCGGAUGUAUUGUGUUUACUUUUGCUGCGGCUGCCUUGCAAGAUAGGAAAGGAAGUUGUGGUUGGAGUCAUUUGAUAACUUUCAAAUGCAGAAUCAAGUUACCCACAGCUACGCUUUAUCAUCGGGAAGUUGGCUAACCCUCUCCACCAGAAGAGACAGUUUUGCUAUGAACUUACUGGAGCUAGUGCCUAUUAUUGGGGGCCAGCCGCCAGGUGGAACAGCGUUAGUAGUACCUCCAAAACCUAAGGGAAGCUUCUACAGCGAGACUUGAGUGGAAAGGUCGACCGGAAUCUAGUGCGUACGAAAUGGUGCCAACUCCAAAAGAAAUUAAGAGAAAGGUGUACAAGCUUAAGAGAAAAAUAAGAGAGGAGAGACAAGAGAACUUCUACCAAGUUUACAGGUGAGAGUGAUUUCAUUCCAGCCAGUUUUAAAUCUGUAUAAUAAUCUAUGCACAUGACCUUUGCUUCUUGUGGUUAAAGUACUUCUUUUAAUGACUGGUGGCAUCUUUAACUUUUAUCCUGUUCAAUAGGCAUUGAUUAGUACUUCGCAGUCUCACAGUAACAAGAAAAUCCUAUACUAUACGCCAUAUAUUCCAAGUUAAAUUACAUGUCUUCAUAAAUAUUUUUUGUUUACAUUGCCCGGAAUAAAUAUCAGAAGAGAGAGAGGGAGAGAGUUUCGUUCCAAGGCAAAACAGAUCUUUGAUAUUAACAAAUGUCUUAUAAUUAUAACCAUUAUCAUUAUAGCCUCUAAGUUUCCCAAGUGAGCAGUAUAUAAUAAGUACAACAAUACUCAACGAAGCAUCGCUAGGCAGCUAUGUACAGACCAGCAUGUUCCAUGUACAC